CCUUUGGGGGAGCGCAUCGACGCAUCGCAGUCUAUGCGAAGCAGCUGAGCGCGUUUAUAUUUUGCCAUGUGUUAAUCGCAUUCCAUCGCCUUGUAACACAAGGGGCAGGUAAAGGUAAGCCGCGCCUCCGCGUGCAAUCAGAUGGGCAACUCUUUAAAGCCACACAUCCAAAAUGCCGGCAAGACUGGGGUGUGUACGCUGCCCAACAGCAACCUCAAGGAGCUCACAGGCGUUAUGACUGUUCCAGCCUUGAAGAAGACAAGUCCACUUGAAACGUCGGCUCGAGCACCCACCCCCUGUUUACGGAUUUUUUCAUCGCAAGCCUCCAUCUUUCACUUCCUGCCGUUUUUUUAACAAAGUACCAAGCGCAGAGCUAUGAAGAAUAGAAAUGCACGGAAGAUAGAUGGCAAUUACUGAAGAUAAUACACGCCUUAGGAUAUCUUCUUACAGGGUAUAGAAACAGACACAAACCAACUGUUAUUUUUCGAGUCUCAUUUUAUUCAAACGUGGAUAAAGGUGUUUACAGGAAAAAGUCAAUAGCUCUAUAAGCCCCUUGGCCUUAAUUACAGAACAUUUUUGCUGCUGCCACUGACACUUCCUAAACAAAUGGAAAGCAAAGUCGCAGCAAUGUUACAAGCAGGCACAGCUCCUGUACAGAUCUGUGCAAUGCAAAAAAAAAAGAAAGUUUACAACAGAGAAUGGUCGGAAAGCAUCAGAACAUCAGCCAUGAGAGUUCUAUAGAACGAGAGCUAUAUAUAUAUAACUGUUCCAGCAAAAAAAUAUAUUUCUUGGAAAACGGGGGGAAAAAAAAAACAA